GACCCUCUCCGCACGCCCGCCAAGGCUGGUGAACUCCGGGCGUUCCCGCGGAGGGCCGGCCGCGGACCCCGACCCCGAGGCCCGAGCCGAGAAGCAGAAUUUCCAGCAGUCCUGUAAGACCUGACGGGAAAUCAUCACCGGGUUCGUGUCCUCAUAAAAGACAUUCAACACUGAUAAUAUCUUCAGCAGCAGUUUUGGAGAAGCUGCAGAAAUAGUCCUUGACAGUGGGAGAAAGCCAAUACUCCAUCGUAUGCGUCCUUAAAAAAAAUUUUUUUUUUUAAUUUUUAAAAAAUAAACAUAUAAUGUAUUACUAGC